rnacentral:misc_RNA from 1 species
ACACCUCAACCCUCAUGGUUUACCAUGUGGGCUUGGACUUUGGGGGCCUUGCUGGAUUGUAGUCAGCUCCCCUUAAAUAAAUCAGCUUGCCAGUGUCUGGUGGCAUCACAAGUGUGAUAAUUAUCUACGCUUGUGGUUUUACAUCAGGUAACCUUCAGAGAUGGGGGUUCGCCGGAGCUUAUAAAUGUCUCUCCUCGGCGAGGACACAUUUUGACC